UGUCUUUUUAACCGUGUUUGGCCUGUUACUAUAAUGCGGCAGAAAUGAAUGCUAUGUUUAUAUUUACAAUUUAAUACUACAAUUUAAAGCCUUUUGUGAUUGUUACUCUGUGAUACCUUACUUCUCUCUGUUUGUUUUCCUAUUUUGUCUGUUAAGAUUUGCAGUCAUCCAGGUCUCCAAGGAGGGUUAAAUCAAGGGCAGCUGGACUUUGUUGAAGGUGUCUGCGAUCACACUGGCAACAGGAUGAGAAGAUUAGGUUACUGUUUCCUGACACAACACCUGCCUUGAAAUCUGACGUCUAGUUUCUAAAACUGUCAGGCUUGCAGGUUCUUGUUAAGGAACCGAUUUCUGUUAGAAGGUGGCAUCCUGAUGUUGUAGAUUAAAAAACAUAUUAGUCAAA